UGGGGAAUAUUGCACAAUGGGGGAAACCCUGAUGCAGCGACGCCGCGUGAACGAAGAAGGUAUUCGUAUCGUAAAGUUCUGUCCUAUGGGAAGAUAAUGACAGUACCAUAGAAGAAAGCUCCGGCUAAAUACGUGCCAGCAGCCGCGGUAAUACGUAUGGAGCGAGCGUUGUCCGGAAUUAUUGGGCGUAAAGGGUACGCAGGCGGUUUAAUAAGUCGAAUGUUAAAGAUCGGGGCUCAACCCCGCAAAGCAUUGGAAACUGAUAAACUUGAGUAGUGGAGAGGAAAGUGGAAGUCCUAGUGUAGUGGUGAAAUACGUAGAUAUUAGGAGGAAUACCAGUAGCGAAGGCGAAUUUCUGGACACAAACUGACGCUGAGGUACGAAAGCGUGGGGAGCAAAUAGG
rnacentral:rRNA from 1 species